rnacentral:rRNA from 1 species
GAGACCUCAGGUCAGGCGGGGCUACCCGCUGAAUUUAAGCAUAUCAAUAAGCGGAGAAAAGAAACUAACAAGGAUUCCCU